UACAGAGGCUAUGAGCGUUAGGUGGAAUCACUGGGCUUAAAGCGUGUGUAGGUGGAUGACUAAGUACCUUGUGAAAUCCCACGGCUCAACCGUGGAACUGCUUGGUAUACUGGUUGUCUUGAGGCACUCAGGGGCGAGCGGAACAAAUGGUGGAGCGGUGAAAUGCGUAGAUAUCAUUUGGAACGCCAAUGGUGAAGACAGCUCGCUGGGGGGUGUACUGACACUGAGACACGAAAGCCAGGGGAGCGAACGGG
rnacentral:rRNA from 1 species